rnacentral:rRNA from 1 species
CUACGUGCCAGCAGCCGCGGUAAUACGUAGGGUGCGAGCGUUAAUCGGAAUUACUGGGCGUAAAGCGGGCGCAGACGGUUACUUAAGCAGGAUGUGAAAUCCCCGGGCUCAACCUGGGAACUGCGUUCUGAACUGGGUGACUAGAGUGUGUCAGAGGGAGGUAGAAUUCCACGUGUAGCAGUGAAAUGCGUAGAUAUAUGGAGGAACACCAGUAGCGAAGGCGGCUUUCUGGACUGCAACUGACACUGAGGCACGAAAGCGUGGGUAGCAAACAGGAUUAGAUACCCUGGUAGUCCACGCUGUAAACGAUGAGUACUAGGUGUCGGGGGUUACCCCCCUCGGUGCCGCAGCUAACGCAUUAAGUACUCCGCCUGGGGAGUACGCACGCAAGUGUGAAACUCAAAGGAAUUGACGGGGACCCGCACAAGUAGCGGAGCAUGUGGUUUAAUUCGAAGCAACGCGAAGAACCUUACCUAAGCUUGACA